UACGAAGGGGGCUAGCGUUGCUCGGAAUCACUGGGCGUAAAGCGCACGUAGGCGGAUUGCUAAGUCAGGGGUGAAAUCCUGGAGCUCAACUCCAGAACUGCCCUUGAUACUGGCGGUCUCGAGUCCGGGAGAGGUGAGUGGAACUGCGAGUGUAGAGGUGAAAUUCGUAGAUAUUCGCAAGAACACCAGUGGCGAAGGCGGCUCACUGGCCCGGUACUGACGCUGAGGUGCAAAAGCGUGGGGAGCAAACAGG
rnacentral:rRNA from 1 species